UCUGUAAACAAAUGUAGGACG
rnacentral:miRNA from 1 species